UAAGGGGAGAUGCGAGGAGAUAAGAAGGCAAAGGGCAAAGGGGGAGAGGUAACAAAGAGAGAGAGAGAGAGAGAGAGAGAGAGAGAGAGAGAGAGAGAGAGAGAGAGAGAGAGAGAGAGAGAGAGAGCAUAUUUUCCAGGAAUUUUACGAUAAGAUAACAUACUUUUCAACGGUGCUAUCAAUGCUUAUAGCCUUACUGCAGGUGUUUUGUUAUCUGCUACACUUUUUUACGAUAUGAAUACACAUUUUUAGCGGCGCGAGUCAUACACAAACACAUUCUAGCUAUACAGAGAACAGAAAUCAAUAACAUGCAUGGAAAACCAAUUGAAUAGAUAUACGAGUACACAUUCUGAAGCAUUACAACUACAAGUCAUAUCCAAACUCAUACUUAUAGGUUAGGUUAGGUUAGGUUAGGUUAGGUUACACAUUUUGAAGCAUUACACAUUCUGAAGCAUUACAAGUCAUAUCCACACUCAUACUCAUAGGUUAGGUUAGGUUAGGUUAGGUUACACAUUUUGAAGCAUUACACAUUCUGAAGCAUUACAAGUCAUAUCCACACUCAUACUCAUAGGUUAGGUUAGGUUAGGUUAGGUUACACAUUUUGAAGCAUUACACAUUCUGAAGCAUUGCAAGUCAUAUCAUAACUCAUACUCAUUGGUUAGGUUAGGCUUGGUUAGGUUAGGUUACACAUUUUGAAGCAUUACACAUUUUGAAGCAUUACAAGUCAUAUCCAAACUCACACUCAUAGAUUAGGUUAGGUUAGGUUGGGUUAGGUUACACAGUUUGAAGCAUUACAAAUCAUAUCCAGACUCAUACCUGCUAUCAGAACACAAAUCAGUAACGUUAUGCAAGGAAAACCAAUUGAACAGAGAUACCAGUACACAUUCUAAAGUCAUAUCCAAACUCAUCCUAGCUAGAAGAACAUAAAUCAAUAACAUGCAAGAAAAACCAAUUGAACAGAGAUACCAGUACACAUUCUGAAGCAUUACAAGUCAUAUCCAAACUCAUACUUGCUAUAAGAACACAAAUCAAUAACGUUAUGCAAGAGAAUCAACAUGGGCUAUAGACAGGAGGAUACACGAGGAAACAUAUGGAUACAGAAUUAUAUAAGGAGAGUACAAGCGAUCAGACAACCUUCACAUGGUAUCGAAGCUCAAGAGAUCGGGUUAUCCGUGAAGUGACCAAUAGGUUAAUGCAAGAAAGACUAGAUAGGAGAUAUAUAGGAAUGUAGAUAGGAUAUAGAAGGGAAAUGUCAACCCAAGGAUAUGAAUUUCGGAAUGCAAUAGUAUGUUAAGGGAGCGAACUUUAUAUAUAGAAGCAAAUUAUUACAUCGAGGAUAUAGUUGAUGAUAGAGGUUGAAUAUAGACAGCAAGAAAGAGUUAGAUAAAUAAGAAAAGGACAACCAGGUGAAAUUAAGAAAGGUAGAAAUGCAAGAAUGAGUUAAUAGAGAACGAACCUUACAAGAAAUAGUUACACACGUAUGCUAGGAGAUAGGAGAUGGUAGAGAUAGUGGAGAUAGACAGCAAAAAAGAGUUAGAUAAAUAAGAAAAGAACAACCAGGUGAUAUUAAGAAAGGUAGAAAUGCAAGACUGAGUUGGUAGAGAAAUAACCUUACAAGAAAUAGUUACACACGUAUGCUGGGAGAUUGGAGAUGGUAGAUAUGGUGAAGACAGAUAGCAAGAAAAAAGUUAGAUAAAUAAGAAAGCGAAAACCAGAUAAAAUUAAUUGAGGUAGGAAUGCAAGAGUGCGCUGAUAGAUAAAGAACCUUAAAAGUAAAUAGUUAGACAUGUAUGCUAGGAAAUAGUUGACUUUAGAGGGUGGAAAUUGACAGUAAGAAAUAGUUAGAUAAAUAAGAAAACAAUAACCAGGUGAAAUUAAAGUAGAAAUGCAAGACUAGGUUGUUAUAGAGAGAAUAAUAGUUACUCAAAUAGUUACUCUAGCAAAUAGUUACACACGUAUGCUAGGAGAUAGUGGACAUAGACAGUGAGGAAGGAUUAGGUAUUGAUAAGAAAUUAACUUAGGGAGUCGAGUUCGUUGGAAGAGAUAGAUCAUUAGAAGCAAAUAGGUAGACACGUAAGCUAGGAAACUGGUGACGAUAGGGAAGGUGGAGAUAGACAGAAAGAAAGGGUUGGAUAGACAGCACAGCGGAGGGCGGUUGGGUAAUGUUAUGCAUGGCUCAGGAUUGACAGGAUAAACCGGCGCCACCUUCUCCUUUCCUGUCUAUCCUUUGUCGCGUGUCCUAUCUCUCCACUCACCCUGCAGACGCCUUGCCCCUCCUCCUCCUCCUCCUCCUCCUCCUCCUCCGUGUCCUUAUCCUUAUCUAUUUUGCUCCACUUCCUUCUGUUCCUUCUUUUACUUUUCUUAUCAUGUUAUCGUGUUGUUAUCUCCUCCUCUUCCUCUCCCCCUCUUCCUCCUAUUCUUCCUCCUCCUCCUCCUCCUUUUCAACGGCCGUCUGUCAUAUCAUUCACACUUUUCUUAAUUUUUUGCAACAUUUAUUAUCCUCCUCUUCCUUCUCGUCCUCCUUCUCCUCCUCCUCCUCCUCCUCCGGUAUCCUUCACCUUCCUUAUCUCGUCUUAUCUUCCCUGUUAUCUAUUUGACGGCUCUUUGGUUAUAAGCUCCCUCUCUCCCUUUCCUAAUCUCCCUCCUCUUACCCUUCCUUUCCACUUACGUCAGUCACUCAAACAAUAUUUCCUCUCUCUUAGCUCCCCCUCCAAUUAUUUUUCCUUAUUUUGUUAUUCUACUUUCUUUUCCGUCCUCUCCCUCCUCUUCUCUCCCCCCCCUAUUCCUUUCUCUUAACUGUAUUCUCUCUUAUUCUCUUAACUGUAUCAUUCAUUCUACGUAGUUAUAAGCCAUUUCUUAAACAUUUCGAAUCACUAACAUACAUAUUUCGCAAGGCGUUCUUAGGAGUUGCGGGCAUUCAUGGGGUGGGUGGGGGGGGGGGUAGUUUCAUGACCCUUGUGGUAGAGUUUGACAAAGCUUCCGUAUGCCGUGAAAGUGAAAAAAAAACCACUGAUGAGAACGCGAUUAAUCUCCUUUGUGACCGUUGGAAAUAGUUGAUUUAAGAGGUGGAAGCGUCUAAGAAUACAUCAUUUUAUUUUUUACAGUAAAGGAAAUAAAAGCAAAGGAAAACAGAAAACAAAAGACCCCGCUAUGUGUUGAUCCUGCAAAACCAAAGUGAGCCGAGUGGCCAAAAGAGACGUCAAUUUCGGAGGGAGAGACGUCUUGAUACUCCCCAGGAAAAGCACUUGUGAUAACCAACCAGACUAACCUUCUCUGUGGCCUGUGGAAGUAUUUGUUGUGAGCCGAAAAGGUCCGAUAAUACGGGCCUACAUAAUUUCCUUAGUAUACCUUUUGUUUUAUCCCGUUUUCUUACACGUGUUCUGUUAUCGUGUGUUGGCCUCCUCGUCGUCAGGCUAGUCGUGUUUACCCCCCGCCAGGACUCAUUUCCGGCACUUGGGUGAGGAAAUUGAGGACAUUGUAAAUAAAAAUAGAUUCUUAAGUGAAGUGAGUAAGUGUAUGAGUGCCCGGCGAGUCAUUUGAAUAAGGGUUGCGUAAGAAGUGUGAUCAUUGAAGUAAAUAAAACAUAAGUAAUGAUAGUUAUGGUGGAGGAAAUAACGAUGAUCUAACUCUUUAAAUAUAGUCUUCACCACUUUUACUUAAAAAAACCCGGAUAAAAAACGAAAAAAAAAACCCUUAAUAAAACUGUAUAUUAAAAAAGUUAGUGUUUGGAUGUUUUGUAAGUCUAAUAAUCCUCUCCUCUUUCUUCUUCAAUAAUCUUCACCACCUCUACGAGAAGAAAAGAGCUUGGAAAAAAACAACAACAACAAAAAAAAAGCGAUAAUUAUCAAAAAGAAAGAUCAAGAAAGAAAAAAAAGAUAAUUCGUGUUUUGAUGCUUUGUAAGUUUACCUGUAGCCUCAUUACCCACCUGAGGUCUAUUUAGCGCGUGGCUGGAGCUGCCGUGACGAGAGGAGGAGGAGGAGGAAAAAAAGAGGACAAGGGGAAAGUACUGUAGCGGUUUUAAGUUUACGGUGAGUGAUUGGAGUCAGUGAUGUGUGUGUGUGUGUGUGUGUGUGUGUGUGUGUGUGUGUUUUGUAAUGGGGCUGUGGGGAACUUUUUAGGUGACGAGAGCUGAGGUUUUGUGGUGAGUGAGAUAGUGAGUGAGUGAGUGUGAGUGAACGAGUGUAGUGGGGGGAAAGUAAGAAAGAGAUAAGAGUAAGUGAGUGUGAGUGAGUGACUAGGUGGAGCGUAGUGGAGUGAGUAAGAUAGAGAGGGAAGGUAGGAAUGUGAGUGGAUGAGUAAGUGAGUGAGUGAAUGAGUGAGAAAACUAAACCAUUAAAAUUCAUGAGGUGGCGAAUAUAGUAAUGAGGAAGAGUUAUAUGGUAGGAGCAAGUGAGGGGAACGACCGAGAGAAGGAGAGGAAAGAAAGAAAAAAAAAAAGAGGGAAGAAGUGUUAGCAAGGGGAGACAGGGUAAGGGGAGUUUUUAAGACCUUGUUACUGAAGACGAGGCAAAGGGGAGGAGAGGGGAGAAGGGAGAGGGGAUACGAGGGAAGGGUAAGAGAAGGUUAAAGGGAAAAAAAGGAUAAAAAAAUGUGAAUGUUUAAAAGUUAGAUGGAAGGGUUUCUGCAUUUGCAUCUUAGUCUGAUUUAAGAUGAAGGGAAGGAGGAGGGAGAGAAGGGAGGGAUGGAGGAAGGAGGAAAAAACUAGGAGAAAGAAGAGAUGGAGGAAAGGGGUGAAAGGAGACACGAGGGGGAGAGGAAAGACGGGUGGGAGGGGUGUUGGAGGGCUGAGAGAGAGAGAGAGAGAGAGAGAGAGAGAGAGAGAGAGAGAGAGAGAGAGAGAGAGAGAGAGUCAGCAGUCAGCAGGUCAGCAGUAUAUAAUAACGCCCUGCUGUUCUACUUGUUGUCUUGUUUACUGCUGCCUCUGCUGUGUAUCUAUCUAUCUAUCUUUCCAUCGAUGUUUUUCUUUUUAUUUUACAACUUAUUUACUUAUUUACUUAUGUCUGUCUAUGGUGGGUAUUCUCAAACGCUUCCAACCCUCACAUCAACCAUCUCUUAAGGCCAAAAAAAGACAUCAAUCGGGUCCUUAUGAGUGUUUUCUUAGGUUCGUGGUACAGAGGAAGGGUCAGACUACCACCAGGGCCAUAAAACUACCCCGGGAAAUGCCCCAAACCCCUACGAAAACCUUAUGUGCAUGGGGGGUGGGGGGGAUAUGUUUUAUAAGAAUAUGGCCGUGUGUGUGUGUGUGUGUGUGUGUGUGUGUGUGUAGCGGUGGUCUGCCUGUCAUCCCGUUGUUGUUUACGCUCUGUUUGUUUUGGUCCGUUUGUUGCUUGUCAUGUUUGGUCUCCUCCCUCGUUUUCUUUUAUUCUUGUUCAUAAUCGUUGUUUUGUGUUUGUUACUCUGAUGUUGACUUCUGUGUGUGUGUGUGUGUGUGUGUGUGUAUGUGUGUGUGUGUGUGUGUGUGUGUGUGU